rnacentral:rRNA from 1 species
AACGAACGCUGGCGGCAGGCUUAACACAUGCAGGUCGAGCGGUAACACAGGGAGCUUGCUCCUGGGUGACGAGCGGCGGACGGGUGAGUAAUGUCUGGGAAACUGCCUGAUGGAGGGGGAUAACUACUGGAAACGGUAGCUAAUACCGCAUAACGUCGCAAGACCAAAGAGGGGGACCUUCGGGCCUCUUGCCAUCAGAUGUGCCCAGAUGGGAUUAGCUAGUAGGUGGGGUAAUGGCUCACCUAGGCGACGAUCCCUAGCUGGUCUGAGAGGAUGACCAGCCACACUGGAACUGAGACACGGUCCAGACUCCUACGGGAGGCAGCAGUGGGGAAUGUUGCACAAUGGGCGCAAGCCUGAUGCAGCCAUGCCGCGUGUAUGAAGAAGGCCUUCGGGUUGUAAAGUACUUUCAGCGGGGAGGAAGGUGUUGAGGUGAAUAACCUCAGCAAUUGACGUUACCCGCAGAAGAAGCACCGGCUAACUCCGUGCCAGCAGCCGCCGUAAUAC